UGGCACGGAUGUACCGGGGCUUUUGUGAUGCGCUCUCGAAGAGUCGAGUUGUUUGGGAAUGCAGCUCAAAAUGGGUGGUGAACUCCAUCUAAAGCUAAAUAUUGGCGAGAGACCGAUAGCGAACAAGUACCGUGAGGGAAAGAUGAAAAGCACUUUGGAAAGAGAGUGAAACAGUACGUGAAAUUGUUGAAAGGGAAACGCUUGAAGUCAGUCGCGUCGACCGAGACUCAGCCUCGCCUCGGCUUGGUGUACUUCUCGGCUGACGGGUCAGCAUCAAUUUUGCCCCUUGGAUAAUGGCGAGGGAAAUGUGACACCUUUGCGGUGUGUUAUAGUCUCUCGUCGCAUGCAAGGGUCGGGAUUGAGGAACUCAGCACGCGCCUUUGGGCGUCGGGGCUUUGCCCACGAUACGUGCUUAGGAUGCUGGCGUAAUGGCUUUAAACGACCCGUCUUGAAACACGGACCAAGGAGUCUAACAUGCCUGCGAGUGUUCGGGUGGAAAACCCGUGCGCGCAAUGAAAGUGAAAGUUGGGACCUCUGUCGUGGAGGGCACCGACGCCCGGACCAGACCUUCUGUGACGGUUCUGCGGUAGAGCAUGUAUGUUAGGACCCGAAAGAUGGUGAACUAUGCCUGAAUAGGGUGAAGCCAGAGGAAACUCUGGUGGAGGCUCGUAGCGAUUCUGACGUGCAAAUCGAUCGUCAAAUUUGGGUAUAGGGGCGAAAGACUAAUCGAACCAUCUAGUAGCUGGUUCCUGCC
rnacentral:rRNA from 1 species